rnacentral:tRNA from 1 species
UAGCUAAGUGGUUAAGCGUUUGGCUGCUAAUCAAGAGGUCGGUGGUUCGAAUCCACC